rnacentral:rRNA from 1 species
UACGUAGGGCGCAAGCGUUGUCCGGAAUUAUUGGGCGUAAAGAGCUCGUAGGCGGCCUGUCGCGUCUGCUGUGAAAUCCCGGGCUUAACCCCGGCGUGCAGUGGAUACGGGCUGGCUGGAGGCAGGCAGGGGAGAAUGGAAUUCCGGUGUAGCGGUGAAAUGCGCAGAUAUCGGGAGGAACACCGGUGGCGAAGGCGGUUCUCUGGGCCUGUUCUGACGCUGAGGAGCGAAAGCGUGGGGAGCGAACAGG